UACGUAGGUGGCAAGCGUUAUCCGGAAUUAUUGGGCGUAAAGAGCGCGCAGGUGGUUGAUUAAGUCUGAUGUGAAAGCCCACGGCUUAACCGUGGAGGGUCAUUGGAAACUGGUCGACUUGAGUGCAGAAGAGGGAAGUGGAAUUCCAUGUGUAGCGGUGAAAUGCGUAGAGAUAUGGAGGAACACCAGUGGCGAAGGCGGCUCUCUGGACUGUAACUGACGCUGAGGCACGAAAGCGUGGGGAGCAAACAGGAUUAGAUA
rnacentral:rRNA from 1 species